rnacentral:rRNA from 1 species
AUGCUUUGGUGCCUUCGGGAACUCUGAGACAGGUGCUGCAUGGCUGUCGUCAGCUCGUGUUGUGAAAUGUUGGGUUAAGUCCCGNAACGAGCGCAACCCUUAUCCUUUGUUGCCAGCGGUUCGGCCGGGAACUCAAAGGAGACUGCCGGUGAUAAACCGGAGGAAGGUGGGGAUGACGUCAAGUCAUCAUGGCCCUUACGGCCAGGGCUACACACGUGCUACAAUGGCGCAUACAAAGAGAAGCGACCUCGCGAGAGCAAGCGGACCUCAUAAAGUGCGUCGUAGUCCGGAUUGGAGUCUGCAACUCGACUCCAUGAAGUCGGAAUCGCUAGUAAUCGUAGAUCAGAAUGCUACGGUGAAUACGUUCCCGGGCCUUGUACACACCGCCCGUCACACCAUGGGAGUGGGUUGCAAAAGAAGUAGGUAGCUUAACCUUCGGGAGGGCGCUUACCACUUUGUGAUUCAUGACUGGGGUGAAGUCGUAACAAGGUAAGCGUAGCGAG